rnacentral:rRNA from 1 species
UACGGAGGGUGCAAGCGUUGUCCGGAAUCACUGGCGUAAAGGGCGCGUAGGCGGCUCAUGAAGGCUGUGGUGAAAGUCCGGGCUCAACCUCGGAUCGGCCGUGGCGACUCGUGGGCUGGAGCACUGUAGAGGCGGGUGGAAUUCCGGGUGUAGCGGUGGAAUGCGUAGAGAUCCGGAAGAACACCAGUGGCGAAGGCGGCCCGCUGGGCAGUGGCUGACGCUGAGG